CGCGCUGUUACGGGGGGAGGCCGACCCGCCGUCGCCUCGUUCGCGGCGGCUCGACCUGCCCGUUCCGCGCCGGCUCCGCGUGA
rnacentral:tRNA from 1 species